CCCCCCUGCAAAGAACAAAAUAGACGGCACGACGAGGCGCUCAAUCAGAUUUUAGUGGUUUACUUCAGUUCUGCCGUCUCUCUCUCUUUCUCUCCUUUACUACAAGGGAUAUUAUAAAGAAUAAAUAGCAGAUACUCUUAAUUUACAACGAUUAGUCAUUCCAUUUGUUCUCUAUAUUUACAAUAACUAAAAUAACAUCGAACUCUACGGCUCCUCCGAGCCCAGGAGACCGGUACACUUUCCGAAGAAUGGAAAAUAGCUUCUUCAUCAUCAUCAUCAUCAUCAUCAUCAUCUUCUUCUUUUUAAAGUCCUUCUACAAAGUUUUUUUUUUCCUCUCCUCUUUGUACUUUAAAAAAAAAAUAUUUUUUUUUUUCCUGCUUCGCCGGGCGAAGUGUUCUGGAAUAUAAAUAGCAGGUAACGUUAGGGACGGACAGAAGAACACGCCUUUCUCUCUCCUUCUUUCUUCUUCUUCUUCUUCUUCUUCUUUUUUUUUUCCUCUUUUGUUUUUUUAAAAAUACAGUAGAAGCCGGUAACUUUUUUUAAACGUAUAAUACUGACCUUUUAAUAAGUAAAACUGGGACCAUAUAUAUACACACACACGCACGCACACAUAUACAUUCCUACAGGUACAGUGCAUAACAUGAACCCUAAAGUUAUGUCCUGCGGCGGGGAGAGGGGACGGAGUUGGGCUUUUGGGGGGGUGGGGAGGGGGCGGACUGGGUGGGCGUGGAAGGGGGCGAGGCGCCCUUAGCAGGAGCAUUUGCACUCCGAUAUGAUGGGGUACUGGAUGGGGAUCCAGGCGCAGCGCUGGCCCCCCCGGCGUUGGCAUCGCCACCUGAGCACAGUGAGGUGCACGGACUUGGACGGCUUGCAGACCAUGCCCUCGGGGAAGGAGCACGACCUUCGGCUGAAGCAGCUGCCCACUUUGACGUAGCGGGGCCAGAAGCGGCUGCCCAGGUCGUUCCACGAGUAGAGGACCGGACAGAAGGUCUGCGACCACAGCCACAGCUGCAGUUUCCUCCGCAGCUUCUUGCUCAGCCGGUGUUUCUUGCCGGAGGGCGGCCCGUCGGAGAACUCCAGGCCUUUGAUCUCGCUGGGCAUGACCCCCGACGGCCGCUGGCGCAGCAGCUGGUCCAGCUCGGUCAAGUCCUCUCCACCACCUCCUCCUGCACCUCCUCCUGCGGCCGCCCCUCCUCCCCCGGCCGGCCGGUCCUCCGGGGGCGUCGAGGCCAUGAAGCCCGGGUCGUAGUGAGCGCCCAGCAGCGAGCGCAGCAGCGUCUCGUUGAGGUCCUUCUCCUUGGGGUCAAAGACGGGGUCCGGGUGCUCGAUGAGGUCCACCAGGGGCAGGUUGUCGCUGGGGGCCGGGCGGAUGUGCAGCUCCAUCACCAUGGAAACCACCGACUCUCUCUCUCUCCCCCCUCCUCGCUCCCCCCUCCCCCUUCUCCCCCCCCCCACCAAACACCACCACCCCUCCCUCUCCCCCUCCCCCCCACCCACCCACCCUGA
rnacentral:lncRNA from 1 species